UUGGAGGGCAAGUCUGGUGCCAGCAGCCGCGGUAAUUCCAGCUCCAAUAGCGUAUAUUAAAGUUGUUGCAGUUAAAAAGCUCGUAGUUGAAUUUCGGGAUCAAUUUGCUGGUCGUGCCUUCGGUACGCACUGGUAUUAUUGGUUUCUCCUUUCUGAUGAAUCGCGAUGUCAUUAAUUUGGUGUUGUGGGGAAUCAGGACCGUUACUUUGAAAAAAUUAGAGUGUUUAAAGCAGGCUCACGCUUGAAUACAUUAGCAUGGAAUAAUGAAAUAGGACGUUUGAUUCUAUUUUGUUGGUUUCUAGGAUCGACGUAAUGAUUAAUAGGGAUAGUUGGGGGCAUUAGUAUUCAAUUGUCAGAGGUGAAAUUCUUGGAUUUAUUGAAGACUAACUACUGCGAAAGCAUUUGCCAAGGAUGUUUUCAUUAAUCAAGAACGAAAGUUAGGGGAUCGAAGACGAUCAGAUACCGUCGUAGUCUUAACCAUAAACUAUGCCGACUAGGGAUCGGAUGAUGUUAAUUUUUUAAUGACUCAUUCGGCGCCUUACGGGAAACCAAAGUGUUUGGGUUC
rnacentral:rRNA from 1 species